rnacentral:rRNA from 1 species
UACGAAGGAUGCAAGCGUUACUCGGAAUUACUGGGCGUAAAGCGUGCGUAGGUGGUUCGUUAAGUCUGAUGUGAAAGCCCUGGGCUCAACCUGGGAAUGGCAUUGGAAACUGGCGACCUAGAGUGCGGUAGAGGGUAGUGGAAUUCCCGGUGUAGCAGUGAAAUGCGUAGAGAUCGGGAGGAACAUCCGUGGCGAAGGCGACUACCUGGACCAGCACUGACACUGAGGCACGAAAGCGUGGGGAGCAAACAGG